CCUACGGGAGGCAGCAGUGGGGAAUUUUGGACAAUGGGCGCAAGCCUGAUCCAGCAAUGCCGCGUGAGUGAAGAAGGCCUUCGGGUUGUAAAGCUCUUUUGUCAGGGAAGAAACGGCUGAGGUUAAUACCUUUGGCUAAUGACGGUACCUGAAGAAUAAGCACCGGCUAACUACGUGCCAGCAGCCGCGGUAAUACGUAGGGUGCAAGCGUUAAUCGGAAUUACUGGGCGUAAAGCGUGCGCAGGCGGUUUUGUAAGUCUGACGUGAAAUCCCCGGGCUCAACCUGGGAAUUGCGUUGGAGACUGCAAGGCUGGAGUCUGGCAGAGGGGGGUAGAAUUCCACGUGUAGCAGUGAAAUGCGUAGAGAUGUGGAGGAACACCGAUGGCGAAGGCAGCCCCCUGGGUCAAGACUGACGCUCAUGCACGAAAGCGUGGGGAGCAAACAGGAUUAGAUACCCUGGUAGUCCACGCCCUAAACGAUGUCUACUAGUUGUCGGGUCUUAAUUGACUUGGUAACGCAGCUAACGCGUGAAGUAGACCGCCUGGGGAGUACGGUCGCAGAUUAAAACUUAAAGGAAUUGACGGCUUGAGNGNGCGAGACGACGACGAGGAGGAGG
rnacentral:rRNA from 1 species